rnacentral:ncRNA from 1 species
CAAAAGCUUGGUCCUGACUUUAUUAUCCGCUCUAGCAAAACUUACACAUGCAAGUAUCCGCACCCCCGUGAGAAUGCCCUACAGUUUCCCCUGAAGGAAACAAGGAGCGGGUAUCAGGCACAUUUCUUCAUAGCCCAUGACACCUUGCUUUGCCACACCCUCAAGGGUUUUCAGCAGUGAUAAACAUUAAGCAAUAAGUGAAAACUUGACUUAGUUAAAGCUAAAUAGGGCCGGUCAAACUCGUGCCAGCCACCGCGGUUAUACGAGAGGCCCAAGUUGAUAAUUAUCGGCGUAAAGCGUGGUUAAGGGCCUAACAAAACUAAAGCUGAACCCUCUCAAUGCUGUUAUACGCUCCCGAGAGUAUGAACCCCAACAACGAAAGUGGCUUUAAAUAACCUGACCCCACGAAAGCUGUGGAACAAACUGGGAUUAGAUACCCCACUAUGCACAGCCCUAAACUUUGAUAAUAAGAUACAAUUAUUAUCCGCCUGGGUACUACGAGCAUAAGCUUAAAACCCAAAGGACUUGGCGGUGCUUUAGACCCCCCUAGAGGAGCCUGUUCUGUAACCGAUAACCCCCGUUCAACCUCACCUUUUCUUGCCGUUUCCCGCCUAUAUACCGCCGUCGUCAGUUUACCCUGUGAGGGAACUACAGUAAGCAAAAUUGACAAAGUCCAAAACGUCAGGUCGAGGUGUAGCAUAUGAAAAGGGAAGAAAUGGGCUACAUUUCCUGCUCUCAGGAAAUACGAAUUAUGCCAUGAAACAGCAUAUGAAGGAGGAUUUAGUAGUAAGUGAAAAAGAGAGUGUUUCACUGAACCCGGCCCUGAAGCGCGCACACACCGCCCGUCACUCUCCCCGAGCUAACUACACUAAUUCUUAAUAAACCAUUCUAAGCAAAGGGGAGGUAAGUCGUAACAUGGUAAGUGUACCGGAAGGUGCACUUGGAAAAAC